rnacentral:lncRNA from 1 species
UGUAGUGUAAAAUGCUUUGAGUGCUCAAACAAGGUAAAAAAGCAUUAUAAUAGAACCAAUCCCGUUACCAUUCACUGAAUACCUACUACUACUGUUACUACCUCUUCAGCUGCUCCUGACACUGCCAGCAGGAGAAAUGAAACAUGAGUAAACAUGUCUUUUCCAGACUUAAAGACCAGUGGGUACAAAUUACCCAAUGUCUGCAUUUGUGGCUCAUUGUUAUUCUUUUCUUCUGUUUCUCCAGAGUAAAAUCUCACUUUGCUGUUUGAUUUGUCACAUUUGCCCCCACCCCUCUUCACUCUCCACCCUCUCAUAGAAAAUUAAUCAGCGCACACACACAAACACCAGCACACACCCCUCUCCGGAGGCUGGUCUGUCAUCGGCUCUUCCUGUUUGUUGGCUGCAGCUGUAGCCUGCGUUGCCGUGACGUUGCACCGGUCGAUUCUCGUCCCAGUGCGGUGGGAAAGCACAGAGACAGAAAAAGGCAGCUAAAUGAGACAGACUGGCAGAGAGACGGCUCUUUGGAGAUUGAGGAAUGCAAAUCUGCAACCAUGAUGGAAGGUAAGAUCAUUUUAUUCUGUCUUUUUUAUGCCAUCCCAUUUUUUCUUUUGUAAUUCAGGAUAAUCAUUAAUGUCCUUGUUCUCGUGUGCUUCAUCUCUUGGCAAGUGUAUGAGGUAUUUGAGGUUGAGAUGCCAGUAGCUGUCCUUCUGUUUCGAGUACACGCAUUUUGUUGACUUGCUUGUUAUUCUUGGGAAAAGGGCACAGCCACUGA